rnacentral:lncRNA from 1 species
AAGAGCUAUAAUAAACCAUAUGUAGCUUUGAGGAACAAGCUUCAUACAGAGAAAGUCCUUUCUAGAAAAGUUUGGUGUAGAUGAGUUCAUAUUGCAUCUUGUGUGUAGUUCCAGGCUGGAAACAAUUUUGCAUUGGUCGAUCAGGCAUCCAUUUGCAAGAAAUAUUUGGAGAAGCUUUAAAAUUCAGUUGAAUUUGAGAGGUUGGCCGGUGAAUGUUCUUAAUUUAUAGUC